rnacentral:rRNA from 1 species
GACGAACGCUGGCGGCGUGCUUAACACAUGCAAGCCGAGCGGUAAGGCCCUUUCGGGGGUACACGAGCGGCGAACGGGUGAGUAACACGUGGGUGACCUGCCCUCAGCUCUGGAAUAAGCCUGGGAAACCGGGUCUAAUACUGGAUAUGACUCCAUGACGCAUGUUGUGGGGUGGAAAGCCUUGUGCGGCUGAGGAUGGGCCCGCGGCCUAUCAGCUUGUUGGUGGGGUGANGGCCUACCAAGGCGACGACGGGUAGCCGGCCUGAGAGGGCGACCGGCCACACUGGGACUGAGACACGGCCCAGACUCCUACGGGAGGCAGCAGUGGGGAAUCUUGCGCAAUGGGCGAAAGCCUGACGCAGCGACGCCGCGUGAGGGAUGACGGCCU